CUCUCGGCGCUUCUGAGGAGCGAACUGGCAGGAUGACGCCCUUUAUAGACUCGCCCUUGCUUCCCCGCCCCUUCCUUUCCCGCCCUCCCUUGCGCUACGGGGCCGCCCGCGCCCGCCCGCACGGGGCGCGCGCUCGAAUCGUUGAGUGAGUCUUCUUGGCUCUCCGGCCGGGUGACCUUUUGAAAUGAAACGACGUGGAAAGGAGCUAUUUUAGUAGCACCGCCUCCCCGUACUGCUCCCUUCGGCAGAGAUUGAAAACUUGAAGGACCGAGGGUAAAUACAGGCCGCUUUUAUUCGAGUUUGGAGUGUGAUUGCAUUGCCAACAAAACUCGCUGAGAAGUUUCCCCCCCACACACACUGGAAAAUGGUCUGUUCCGCGAAUGGAGACGGGUGGGUAUCUCCGGGUGUGUGAAGCAACUCUAUCGAGCUACGGUCCUGGAUCCCCGGCUUGAGCCGUUCGAAGAGGCUUCUGCUCGAAGGUCUGCUCCGGAAGGAGGCCAGCUACUGUCCGGGAGAGAUCACCACGGGACCAAGACAAGCUGGGAAAAGCAGAUUAGCUAUGGGGCGGGACAUAAAUCCUGGAGGAUUCGUGGUCAAGGCAUCUGAGCAUUGGAAAAAUCUUCCCCCUACUGGAAUAUCUCAGAAAUAAAAUGGGGUUGGGGCGGGGAUCCCAAGGGAUUCUCCAAUAAGAUCGGUGUAACGGACUUCCAUUCUCCUUCCAAAAUAGAAAUGACACUGACUGCACAGCCA